CCUACGGGAGGCAGCAGUGGGGGAUAUUGCACAAUGGGGGGAACCCUGAUGCAGCGACGCCGCGUGGGUGAAGAAGGGCCUCGGCGCGGAAAGCCCUGUCAGCAGGGAAGAAAAUGACGGUACCUGAAGAAGAAGCCCCGGCUAACUACGGGCCAGCAGCCGCGGUAAUACGUAGGGGGCAAGCGUUAUCCGGAUUUACUGGGUGGAAAGGGGGCGCAGACGGCGAUGCCAGCCAGGAGUGAAAGCCCGGGGCCCCACCCCGGGACUGCUCUUGGAACUGCGUGGCUGGAGUGCAGGAGGGGCCGGCGGACUUCCUGGUGUAGCGGUGAAAUGCGUAGAUAUCCGGAG
rnacentral:rRNA from 1 species